CUGCACUAGUCGGGGAGAUAGCGGUGCCUUGUAACCUGCAAUCCGCUAUAGCAGGGAUGAACUCCUGAGCGAGGGCGUUUUUUGUUCUGCCUGCCCUUUGAGCGCAGUGUUGAGAGAACGGUCUUGCGCAAUGAAAAACCGUGAACCAUGUCAGGCGGGGAACCGAGCAGCAUUAAGCGGUCCUUUUUGUGUGCCGCAAGCCUGCCGUUUUUGAGCCAGCGGCAGAGGUUAACGGGAAGAGGAAAUGUUCGAAAUCAGGUGUGCAG
rnacentral:SRP_RNA from 1 species